ensembl:piRNA 21ur-4501 ncRNA
UGCACAUGUACUUUCUUGUAC